CCCUUAGAUGUUCGGGGCCGCACGCGCGCUACACUGACCAGUGCAACAAGCAUCCGUCCUUGGCCGACAGGCCCGGGCAAUCUUUGAACGCUGGUCGUGAUGGGGAUAGACUUUUGCAAUUUUUGGUCUUCAACGAGGAAUUCCUAGUAAACGCAAGUCAUCAACUUGCAUUGAUUACGUCCCUGCCCUUUGUACACACCGCCCGUCGCACCUACCGAUUGAAUGGUCCGGUGAAGCCUCCGGAUUGGCGCGCACCUCGGUGCCGCCGAGAAGUUGGCUAAACCUUACCAUUUAGAGGAAGGUGAAGUCGUAAC
rnacentral:rRNA from 1 species